rnacentral:misc_RNA from 1 species
GUUUAUAUCCAUUUAUUAUACCUUUACGUAGUACCCAUAGUGUAUAUACGGUAAAUACGAUCACUUAGAGACACUCGUCAUCAAUCUGUAAGGUCAAAUGGUUUAUAAUGUAUCAACCACCAUCCACCAUGAACAUCGAGUAUUGAACUUUGCUUAAAGAAAACAGUAAUUUCAAUUUAAGAUGAAACUCAUUCUCUAUGAAGCAUGCAUAGUCUAAAAUUGCAAAGGAAACUGGUCGUCUCUUAAUUCAUUAUUCUUGGACCUGUUGAGCCUCUUUCAUUAUUCUCCUAAAUAAAAAUAAGAACAUUGUCAAUUAAGACAUGAAUAAGCCAAUGAUUUCUCUUCCAUUAGCUCUUUCGCUGUUGCAUCCAUCUUUCCCCUGGAGAACUCGUCAAUGUUGAGCCCUUGCACGAUGGACCACUUUCCUUUCUCGCAUGUAACGGGAAAAGAGUAAAUAAGACCAGGCUGGAUCCCAUAAGAUCCAUCAGAAUACACUCCCAUAGAAACCCAUGUUCCCUUGGGUGUCCCAAGAACCCAAUCACGUAUAUGAUCACAAGCCGCACUUGCAGCAGAUAAUGCACUUGAUAGCUUUCGUGCUUUGAUAAUCGCUGCACCUCGUUGCUGAACUGUGGUGAUGAAAUCACCGUUUAACCAUUUAUCAUCAGCAACAAGUUCUCUGACAGGCUUCUCUCCGCUACUGGUUUUGACUGUUGCAUGAUUGACAUCUGGAUACUGAGUUGAAGAAUGAUUUCCCCAUAUGAUGACAUUUUUCACAUCACUAACUUCAACAUCUAGCCUUUCUGAGAUUUGGCCUAAUGCCCUGUUAUGAUCAAGUCGCGUAAGACAUGUGAUGUUUUUCUCUGGGAUUGAAGGUGCAAAUUCUUUCAAGAUGAGUGCAUUGGUAUUUGCUGGAUUUGCUACCACUAACACCUUGCAAUCUGCAGCAGCAUGCUUCUCCAAGGCUGAAGCCUGAGCUUUGUAAAUCGAUACAUUUUUGGACAUCACAUCCUUCCUCUCCAUACCUUCCUUUCGAGGAAAUCCACCAACCAUAACCGCAAUAUUGACACCCAUACACGCUUCAACAACAUCAGUAGUAGCAAUAACUCCUUUGAGCAGAGGAAAGGCAGCAUCAAUCAAUUCCAUUUUCACCCCUUUCAAGGCCUCAGCUGCAGGUUCAAUAUCAAGCAUGUGCAGAAUUACUGGCUGAUCAGGGCCUAGCAUGACCCCCCUCGCAACCAUUGGGACAAUAGCAUAGCCUAUUUGCCCUGCAGCACCAGUUAUCAGUACUCUCACAGGUUCCCUUUCUACAUUCAGUAAGCAGCAGCACCAGUGACCAAAACUCUAACAGGGUCUCUCGCCAUUGCUGCGAAGAUUGGCUGUCCUGAUAGCAAGUGCAAGUUCUGGUAAGUUUGAGAGACUGGUAAUGGUGAUAAAAAAGGAGAUGAAGGUUAUAUAUAGGGGAAGGGAUUGAGAUGAGGAGACGAGAUCGAGAGUGUCGAAAAUCGAGGAUAAAGAUAACCGUGACGAUGAUGAUGAGAUGAGAUGAGAUGCGCUGCUUUUACAGUUAAAAUGGGACGUGUCGCCAUGAAACCUAUGAAUCUUGCUUUUUGAUGCAUACGUUCCCUAUUUCUUUGGAUCCAUGCCACAACUGGGAUUUCUUCUACGCCAAUGUAAAUGGAAGAAAUUUUAAAAUGUAACAGUUUUAGGUAAAACGGAC